ACGGCUACCUUGUUACGACUUCACCCCAGUUACCGGCCCCGCCUUCGGCAGCUCCUCCCUUUCGGUUAGGUCACUGACUUCGGGCGUUGCUGACUCCCAUGGUGUGACGGGCGGUGUGUACAAGACCCGGGAACGUAUUCACCGCGACAUUCUGAUUCGCGAUUACUAGCGAUUCCAGCUUCGUGUGGUCGGGUUGCAGACCACAGUCCGAACUGAGACGUUAUUUUUGGGGUUUGCUCCAGAUUACUCCUUUGCCUCCCUUUGUUUACGCCAUUGUAGCACGUGUGUAGCCCAAAUCAUAAGGGGCAUGAUGAUUUGACGUCAUCCCCACCUUCCUCCAGGUUAUCCCUGGCAGUCUUCCCAGAGUGCCCACCUUUACCUGCUGGCUACUAAGAAUAAGGGUUGCGCUCGUUGCGGGACUUAACCCAACAUCUCACGACACGAGCUGACGACAACCAUGCACCACCUGUCUUCCCUGUCCCGAAGGAAAGGUGACUUUACUCACCGGUCAGGGAGAUGUCAAGACUUGGUAAGGUUCUUCGCGUUGCUUCGAAUUAAACCACAUGCUCCACCGCUUGUGCGGGUCCCCGUCAAUUCCUUUGAGUUUUCAUUCUUGCG
rnacentral:rRNA from 1 species